rnacentral:RNase_P_RNA from 1 species
CAGGACAAAUGAUCGCGGCCCGGAAGGGCUGAGGAAAGUCCGGGCUUCACAGGGCAGGGUGCCGGAUAACGUCCGGCGGAGGCGACUCCAGGGAAAGUGCAGCAGAAAGCAGACCGCCGGGUCUCCCGGUAAGGAUGAAAGGGCAGUGUAAGAGACUACCGGCGCUCCGGUAACGGCGCGCGCAUUGUAAACCCCACCCGAAGCAAGGCCGAAUCGGCGCGUAAGGCGGCCCGUCUGCGCCAUGGUUGGCCGCUGGAGCCUGCCGGCAACGGCAGGUCGAGACAGAUGAUCAUUCACGACAGAACCCGGCUUAUCGUCCUGCUCGUC